UCAGACGACUGAAAUGAUUGAACAGUGAAUAAGUACUGCUCACUAUUUUAAGUCUUUCUGUCAGUGCCCACUUGUAAAUGUUUUGUGUUAAGUAUUUCUUUUGAAUGCAUAAAAUAAUUCCUUGCCCCAUUCCCAAUUCAUAUUAUAUAUUGAGUACUUUUCAUUCCUCCUCACUUUUCAUCAGCAAGGUGCCCAAAUGGAUAGGUUUCUGUAUCUGGAGUUAAAAUGAUGAGCUCGAACUUUAUUCUACUGGCUACAUGUACCUGGUCAAGUCAUUUAACCUCCUUCUGCCUCAGUUUCCUCAUCUGAAAAAUGCAAGAAUUACCUGCAAGAAUUAUGAGACAAAAAUGAAAUAAUAUAGAAGGGAUUAUCAGCCUGCUGGAGGAGAAUUGAGUCAUUCCAGGUCAGAAAUGGAGCAGGUCAAAGCUUCUGUGCUUAUCAUCAGUGAGAAACCAGCCUGGGCAAGAUUAGGAACCUGAGUCCCAGAAACAUUAAGUGACUAUCAUAAAGUCUCACACAUUGCACACCUUACAAAUGAAUUAGAUGGGAAGAUAAGAUAUGCACUCCAGACCUAAAACUGUGUAUCACACCCAGAACAACUACUCCCUCAGCUGAUGAAAACAUCUUCACCCCACUUUGACUGAGGUAGUACCAGUUAUGGCAGGUGAGAAUUUAAAGAUAUAUAUCAGAAGCCUGACAUGUCUGGACUUGUCUUUCUUAAAUAUUAACUCUUGUCUAUCUUUCUUCCUUCAUUUCUUUUUUUUCUUCUUCCCUCCCUGUCUCUGUUCUUCCCUCCCUCCCUUUCUCCUUUCCUCCCUCCCUGUCUUCUUUCCUCC